GCGCGGAUGGUGGAAUUGGUAGACACGAGAGACUUAAAAUCUCUUGGCUUCACGGCCGUGCGGGUUCAAGUCCCGCUCUGCGCA
rfam:Candidatus Saccharibacteria bacterium 47-87 scnpilot_cont_500_p_scaffold_55, whole genome shotgun sequence.